rnacentral:rRNA from 1 species
AGUGAACGCUGGCGGUAGGCCUAACACAUGCAAGUCGAACGGCAGCACAGUAAGAGCUUGCUCUUGCGGGUGGCGAGUGGCGGACGGGUGAGGAAUACAUCGGAAUCUACUUUUUCGUGGGGGAUAACGUAGGGAAACUUACGCUAAUACCGCAUACGACCUACGGGUGAAAGCAGGGGAUCUUCGGACCUUGCGCGAUUGAAUGAGCCGAUGUCGGAUUAGCUAGUUGGCGGGGUAAAGGCCCACCAAGGCGACGAUCCGUAGCUGGUCUGAGAGGAUGAGCAGCGACACUGGAACUGAGACACGGUCCAGACUCCUACGGGAGGCAGCAGUGGGGAAUAUUGGGCAAGGGGCGCAAGCGUGAUCCAGACAUACCGCGUGGGUGAAGAAGGCCUUCGGGUUGUAAAACGCUUUUGUGGGGAAAGAAAAGCAGCAGGUUAAUACCCCGCUGUUCUGACGGUACCCAAAGAGUAAGCACCGGCUAACUUCGUG